UUAAAAUCAAAAACCGAAAAAAACGCUAAGUGACACUGCACCUCCUUCUUACUUUCUCUCUCUAAAAAGCCCCCACUCCAUUUCCUUCUCUCUCUAACUAUCUUCCCCCAUGUCAACAACAACCGCACCGCCGGAGGAUGAGCCCCACGCGCCACUCCUCCUCCCGCGGCAAGACUCGCCAAUCAACUCACCGCGUCAACCGUCGCUUGCAGUCCUCCUAGGACGCGCCACAGGCCGGCGAGGUCCAUCGAUGCUAGUAAGAGAAACAGCAGCUCGCGAGUUAGAAGAGCGACGCGCCGACUGGGGCUAUUCAAAGCCGGUAGUAGCUUUAGAUGUUAUAUGGAACACGGCGUUUGUAGUGGUGUCGUUGACGAUGUUGAUAUUGACGGCGAAGGAGAAUCCUGAUACGCCGAUAAGGAUUUGGAUCUGUGGAUAUGCGUUGCAGUGUUUAGUUCAUGUCGUUUUGGUUUGGUUAGAGUUUAGGAGACGGAACUCGCGGAGAGUUAGAGACGAAGAGAGACAACCGCCGCUAAGUGAAGCGGAGAAUGUUGAUAGUGAAGAUGAUGACGGUAGCGAUAGAGUUUCCGGCAGUUCGAGCCGGUCAACUGUCACCAAGCGGUGUGAAUCAGUGAACACAAUGGUGUCCUUUUUAUGGUGGAUUGUUGGCUUUUAUUGGGUAGUUUCUGGUGGCGAUGAACUUUUGCAGAAUGCUCCACGCUUGUAUUGGCUGGCUGUGGUUUUUCUGGCAUUUGAUGUGUUCUUUGCGAUCUUUUGUGUUGUUUUGGCAUGUUUGAUUGGGAUCGCUCUCUGCUGUUGCUUGCCAUGCAUCAUAGCGAUUCUAUAUGCUGUUGCAGGGCAGGAAGGUGCAUCAGAUGCUGAUCUUAAUAUUCUACCGAAGUACAGAUUUCAGGUCACGGAUGAUGUGGAUAAGCCCAGUGCUGGAGCAGGGAAAAUGGUCCCUAUUGAUAUGAGUAGCGAAUACUUGGCAAAUGAGCGUGUACUCUUACAUGAGGAUUCUGUAAGUCGCUCUUUGACAAAAGAAACCUUUUUCUGAACAAACUAAACCGAAUUAAAGAGUACUUUUUAUUUCUAUAAUGCUAUUCCUUUCCGAGGUUAGUUUACGUUAUCAAAUGCGCCUCGCAGUUGUCCUAACUUUCUUUGCAGCUCAUUUGUAAAUUGGUAAGUUAUGGUAAGUUUAGAUAGAACCUUAUCCGGGGUUAUGCUUGAAACACUUUUCGAAGAUCAUUUACAGAAUUGCAGACACUGAAUAAUGAGACAAUUACAAAAUUUUAUGGUCAUUAGCUAAUGAUUAUAGCUAAUAAUUUAUAUGACCUGGACCUCGAAUGACUGGCUUUAUAUCAAAAGAUUCGAGAUUGGUUGAUUCCAGGAAUGUUGUAUAUGUCUCUGCUCAUAUGAGGAUGGAGCUGAGCUUCAUACGCUCCCUUGCAACCAUCAUUUCCACUCUACAUGUAUUGUGAAAUGGCUCAAAAUGAACGCCACAUGUCCUCUAUGCAAAUUCAAC